UGCUGAAGCAAGGGGACCAAGGUCAAGUCCUGCCUGCAUUACAGAGUGAGCUGAAGGCCAGACUGAGCAACUUGGUGAGAACCUGUCUUAAAAUAAAAGGAAAUGGCUUCCAGAAUCCUCUUCAAAUAUUCAUGUGGUCUAUUGCGGACACUACAGAGAACACUCUCCCCAUAACAUCCAUUCCCAGACCCCCUCCUCAGCCUUCAGCCUCCGGCACAGGUGGGAACCAGGACAACACUAGCCACCCUGCACCACGGGCUCACAAAGAUGCUCUCCCAAGAUGAGAGGCUAAGGUCCAUCAGGAACCUCUGAACCCAGCUAACCAGAGGCAGAGCGGGGGCUGUUCUCUGGCUCCUCCGUGUCUCCGAUAUAUGACUUCAUUCCAGAAAAUUCCACUGAUCUGCCAGGUCUCUUUUUCAUCACCAGCGCCUUCUGACCUGGGCCCGGGCCAUCCUAAUUCCAUCUCCAGAGGCUCAGUAAUGCUGGUCCAUUCCACUCCUUUAGCUUUCCAGAUGUGGACACGAAAUCUCCCCACAUCAUAGAUGAGCCAACAAAAAGUCUAGCCUGCAGGCUUAUUAUUAUUAUUGUUAAUCAGAUACUGCCUGACUCAGGCUGUGCAAGCACUGGGACACAAGCAUUUUAGGAACCUUGGAGUUGGUUCCCCAAUGUCCCCAUACAUCAGUGUUCCCCUGGAGUUUCCCGAAGCAGCCCUCUCAACCCGGGCACCUUCUGAGAUGUCCCCUCUCACUAGUGGCACUUCCCACAGAGAUGAGUCUAUGAAUCCACACCAGUCCACUGGGCCUCUCUCCCUCAGCCACCCCAGUGACCCUAAACUAAACUGCAAGUGCCCGAAGAUGCCGUCACCUUAACUGCGCAGACUCCACCGCUGAUGUCACCAGCCCUCCUUAGAAGCGCAGUGAGCAUUGUGUUUGAUGGUGUCAGUAACGAUUUAAAUACAACAAAAAUACCGAGUAAACCUCAGGAUUCACAAAUCUCCCAAAUUAAAAAAGCAACAAUGACACAUGGCAAGAGUGGUGGUCCGUGUCUGAAAUUCCAGCACUCAGAAGUCUGAGGCUGGAGGAUCGCUCUGAGUUCAAGGACAUGCUAGGUUAGAGCAAAACCCCACCCAACCAUGCCCCCACAAAAUAGCGCAGUGACAGGUAAUUUACUCCAGUAAGAAUGAAUGAGUGUGAGCGCCUCCUCAGCUCUUGGUGACUUCUCUGUUGGAGAGAGGCUUCCCCCUUGAAACCAUUUUUAAGUUUUGUUUUGUUUUCUCAUUUCUACAUGGCUACUUCAGGCUAAACCUAGCCUGUACCUUUAAUGUGCCCCAUGUUUUCUUUUGUUGUGGUUAAGAACAUGCUUU